rnacentral:rRNA from 1 species
GGGGUGAAGAUGAAAUGGAUUAGCGGCGGACGGGUGAGUAACACGUGAGUAACCUGCCUUAGACAUUGGGAUAGCCUCGGGAAACCGGGAUUAAUACCAAAUGAAAUCACAUAUGCACAUGCAUAAAUGAUCAAAGCUCCGGCGGUCUAAGAUGGACUCGCGUCCCAUUAGCUAGUUGGUGAGGUAACGGCCCACCAAGGCGACGAUGGGUAGCCGGCCUGAGAGGGUGAACGGCCACAUUGGAACUGAGAAACGGUCCAAACUCCUACGGGAGGCAGCAGUGGGGAAUAUUGCACAAUGGAGGGAACUCUGAUGCAGCGACGCCGCGUGAACGAAGAAGGCUUUCGAGUCGUAAAGUUCUUUUAUAUGGGAAGAUAAUGACGGU